rnacentral:lncRNA from 1 species
CUUCCUUCAUGGUGUUUCUUGGCUCUAUUUGUGAGGAUUUUUAACACAAGUGACUUUGUUUUUAUUCUGACAACCUUCACAGCCCCAAUCCAACAUGAUUGGUGACCUUAUAAGAAGAGGAGAAGAGACAGAGGCAGACAUACAGAGUGGGAAGAUGAUCUGAAGAUUCACAAAUGGAAUGCAAUAUGACGACAGAAGCAGAGACUGGAGUGAUGUGUCCACAAGCCGAGGAUUGCCAGCAACACCAGAAGCGAAGAGAAAGGCAUGAAACAGAUUCUCCCCUACAGCCUUCCCAGAGAGGCGGGCCCCACCCACACCUUGAUUUCAGACUUCUAGUUUCCUAACUGUGAGAAAAUAAAUUUCUGUUGUUUUAAGUCACCC